GCUGAUAGUAAUGCAGGCUGACUUACCUGGGCCAGCAAGUGUAGUCUUCCAUAACUAGAAGAAAUACACGAAAGAAGUCAGUGUUUUGGGGAGCCAGGAGCUAAGACUGAGCCUAAGUUUCACUGCCUCUGAAACUUCCAAGGAGAAGAGACUUUUAUAAUCCAAG
rnacentral:lncRNA from 1 species